rnacentral:rRNA from 1 species
AUUGAACGCUGGCGGCAGGCCUAACACAUGCAAGUCGAACGAGUGGCGGACGGGUGAGUAAUGUCUGGGAAACUGCCUGAUGGAGGGGGAUAACUACUGGAAACGGUAGCUAAUACCGCAUACCAUCGGAUGUGCCAAGAUGGGAUUAGCUAGUAGGUGGGGUAAAGGCUCACCUAGGCGACAAUCCCUAGCUGGUCUGAGAGGAUGACUAGCCACACUGGAACUGAUACACGGUCCAGAGUCCGUCGGGAGGCAGCAGUGGGGAAUGUUGCACAAUGGGCGCAAGCCGGAUUCAGCCAUGCCGCGUGUAUGGAGAAGGCCUGCGGGUUGUAAAGUACGUUCAGCGGGGAGGCGUUACCCGCAGAAGAAGCACCGGCUAACUCCGUGCCAGCAGCCGCGGUAAUUC